rnacentral:rRNA from 1 species
AUUGAACGCUGGCGGCAUGCUUUACACAUGCAAGUCGAACGGUAACAGGCCUUCGGGUGCUGACGAGUGGCGAACGGGUGAGUAAUGCAUCGGAACGUACCCAGAGGUGGGGGAUAACGCAGCGAAAGCUGUGCUAAUACCGCAUGUGAUCUGAGGAUGAAAGCGGGGGACCGAGCAGCAAUGUUUGGCCUCGCGCCUUUGGAGCGGCCGAUGUCGGAUUAGCUAGUUGGUGGGGUAAAGGCCUACCAAGGCGACGAUCCGUAGCUGGUCUGAGAGGACGACCAGCCACACUGGGACUGAGACACGGCCCAGACUCCUACGGGAGGCAGCAGUGGGGAAUUUUGGACAAUGGGCGCAAGCCUGAUCCAGCAAUGCCGCGUGCGGGAAGAAGGCCUUCGGGUUGUAAACCGCUUUUGGCAGGAACGAAACGGUGUCCGCUAAUACCGGACGCUAGUGACGGUACCUGCAGAAUAAGCACCGGCUAACUACGUG